rnacentral:rRNA from 1 species
UACGUAGGGUGCGAGCGUUUGUCCGGAAUACUGGGCGUAAAGCGUGCGCAGGCGGUUUUGUAAGUCAGAUGUGAAAUCCCCGGGCUUAACCUGGGAACUGCGUUUGAAACUACAAGGCUAGAGUGUGGCAGAGGGGGGUGGAAUUCCACGUGUAGCAGUGAAAUGCGUAGAGAUGUGGAGGAACACCGAUGGCGAAGGCAGCCCCCUGGGUUAACACUGACGCUCAGGCACGAAAGCGUGGGGAGCAAACAGG